AAAGAAAGCGGGCGGCAUGCCUAACACAUGCAAGUCGAACGAACCCUUCGGGGUUAGUGGCGCACGGGUGCGUAACGCGUGGGAAUCUGCCCUUUGCUUCGGAAUAACUCAGGGAAACUUGUGCUAAUACCGGAUGAUGUCUUCGGACCAAAGAUUUAUCGGCAAGGGAUGAGCCCGCGUAGGAUUAGGUAGUUGGUGGGGUAAAGGCCUACCAAGCCGACGAUCCUUAGCUGGUCUGAGAGGAUGAUCAGCCACACUGGGACUGAGACACGGCCCAGACUCCUACGGGAGGCAGCAGUGGGGAAUAUUGGACAAUGGGCGCAAGCCUGAUCCAGCAAUGCCGCGUGAGUGAUGAAGGCCCUCGGGUCGUAAAGCUCUUUUACCAGGGAUGAUAAUGACAGUACCUGGAGAAUAAGCUCCGGCUAACUCCGUG
rnacentral:rRNA from 1 species